AAUCCGAUUGCAUUUUAAAAAUUUUUUAGGGGAGGGGGAGAGUAUUUGUUUUUUGUUUGCUUGGAGUCUUCGCUUUGUAUAUGAAGAUCACUGGAUUGGUUUAAAGCAAUAGGGUAUUUUUUUCGGUAAUGUAAUGCUCCUCAUGGGAAAGAAAACAUGUCAGACGAUGAAGAUGACGAUGUUAUAGAUUCUUGGGAAGACGCUGCUGAUUCAGGAGAUCUUGAACGGCGUAUGGAAAAAAGAGAAAAAAUUGUUAACAAAAUCAAAAACAGUGAACCAAUGGAAUUCAGUAAUGCACCAGUAACAAUCUUAAAAGCAGAAAAUGCCUGUAAAACUGAGUACAGCCCUCAGAUCAAAAUUUUAAAGAGAUCUGGUUUAAAGAAUUCAAAUAUAAAUAAGCCCAAAAAUAAAACAGAAGCUGAAAUGAAAAUAGCUUUAAAAGUUAAAGAAGCAGAGUAUCAAGCUGCAAGAAAUCGUAUACUUGGUUCAGAUUAUGAUGAAAACAAGCCAAAACUUGACACUGAGAGUGUGAAAAUCUCCAUAAUACAAAAUCCUAGUCGAAGUUCUCCAUUAAACAGUCCUCCUCCUGUUUCAUCAAAGAUCAUAGCAACAAAAGAAUUUGAUAACAUCAUAAGGUUGCCAAGUGGACCAAAUGAUUUAACUGGUUUUAAAGAAAACCGCUAAAGUGUGUUCUAAAUUAGAAUCGGUGGAUUUUACUUUAACAUUGAUCAUUCUCAAGUUAAAGGACAUAAAUGGCAUCUUAAUAUGAAAGUUGUUACCAAAGUUGAAAAGAGCUGCUGAUUGAAUAACAAGAGUAAAAUAAUCUGUUAUUUUAGCGUGGGAUCAAAAUUGACUGCUGAUUCAAGUUAAGCUCGCUUUUCAAACAAGUAGAUUGGUUUUAUUUCAAGCGAGUCAAAUUUCUUGAAGUCCAUAUUUGUAUGGUAAAAAAAAAACAAGUUGAAGUGCACGAAGUACACAGUCAAAAUAUGUUUUCCAAAUACUCAAGUUAUUUUAAAUGUUUUUUAGGGCAUCUUAUGAGAAAAUUGACCUUUCUUGAAUACUUGCAGAACUUUAGUGAAAUUUUUGUUGUCUAUAUUUUAUUGAAUUUCAUUUUUUUAAAAGAAGAAUUUGAAAAUGUAAA